UACGUAGGGCGCAAGCGUUGUCCGGAUUUAUUGGGCGUAAAGAGCUCGUAGGCGGCUUGUCGCGUCGACUGUGAAAUCCCGCGGCUCAACUGCGGGUCUGCAGUCGAUACGGGCAGGCUAGAGUUCGGUAGGGGAGACUGGAAUUCCUGGUGUAGCGGUGAAAUGCGCAGAUAUCAGGAGGAACACCGGUGGCGAAGGCGGGUCUCUGGGCCGAUACUGACGCUGAGGAGCGAAAGCGUGGGGAGCGAACAGG
rnacentral:rRNA from 1 species